ACCAAGUUAAAAGUCUAUAAAGUGGUUGUGCUGACUAACUUGGUGUAUGGGUGUGAGACUUGGAUCUGCUAGAGGCAUCACAUUAAGCUUCUAAGAAAGUUCCAUUUAUGACACAUGCAUGUCAUACCCUGCAUCAAAUGGAGGUUCUGGAACUUAAUCACUUCACAGGGAUUGAAACCACGCUUAUCGCAUCACAGUUACAUUGGGUUGGCCAUGUGUUCAGGAUGGACGACACCAGAAUGCCAAAGCAGUUGCUGUGUGGCAAACUGAAAGUGAACAACUUCAUGUGAGGCAGCCCAAAGAAAUGCUUCAUGGGCACACUGAAGCAUAAUUUGAAACAGUGCAACAUUGACAUUGACAGAGGGGAGUAGUGAGCAGUAGAUAGAACACUCUGGCAAGUAUGAGUUUAACUACCAUUGGGAUCUUGAGAAAGAGAGGCUGAGUCAUAAGCAGCGGCAGAUUUAGCAGGGACAGACUGUAAUCCCUUCCUUGGCAUCAAGCUAGCUAUGCACUUCAUGUGGAAAGGACUGCCCCUUGCACAUCGGUCUCUUUAGCCACAGCCAUACUUGCAGGACUUAAAACCAUCAUCAGCAUCAUCUUUGGUCACAAAGGAAGAUAAAAAAAAAAAAAAGGUAAGUAUGUGCUUUGCUGACCGGGGACCUUGACUUCUGUAACCAUCUGUCCAGGUAGCCUGGGGGUUUGUCUGCAUGGGGUGCUUAGUUUGCACUGAGAUAAUGCACAUUAAUUGAAGCCACAUUCACAGCACGCAGACUGGACAGCUGUGUCCUCUUUCAGUUCACCUCAUGGUGUAAAGAGAGUGGGAGCUUGGUGACCAGAGGCAGUGCUAUCCCACUGGGGGCCCUAAGCAGGAAUAUUUUGCCUCUGCCCUUGAGACACAACACAUAAUAAAAAGUGAAUUGGGGGCCUCCUUGAGCUGCUCGGUGCCCUAAGCAACUGUUUAAUCUGCUUAUGCCUAGCGCCAGCUCUGCUCUUGUUCCUGACUUGCAGUUUGCCCUCUGGCCUGUCUUGGACUCUGAUCCCCUGGUAACCUGACCCUGCCAGCCUACUGACACCUGACUCUCAGUCUGCCCUCCGGCCUGUCUAAGAUUCUGGUCUCCUGGUAUCCAGACCUAGUCUUUCUUCUGGUUCCCCUCUUAACCCUUAAGUUGGACCGCCCACAUCCCAGUUGUGACAAAUACGUAGAGGCAGUUUGCAAUUUAUAUGAGCUGUCAUUGCAGGGUGGCAUUAGUUUUGGAAGCCAGCUGCUGCACCACCAAGCACAUGAGAUGACUACAGCAGUGUGGCUCCUGCAGCAGUGGACAAAAGAGGAAGAUGACAACACCGUGGAAAUGCUACUACACAAGCUCUUCCUAGAGCAUCUUCACACUGUGUAGUGCUGUUUCUGGGCUUGGGAAACCAGCAUUAAUUGGUGGGAGAGGACCAUUUUGCAGACCUGGGAUGACUAGCAGUGGUAACAAAAUUUCAGGAUUAAGACCACUUUUUUUGAGCUCUGCGCUGAACUGACCCCAGAGCUGCAGCAGUGGUUUACUAACAUGUGGUGUCACAUACCCGUUGAGAAGUGGAUUGCCAUUGCCAACUGAGUGCUGGUCAGUUUCCAACCAAAUUGACUUAGGGAGAUUAACUGUUGGGGACAUUGUCAUGCAGGUGUGUGCUGCUUUGCAGACGGUACUCUUGCACCAGGUUAUAAAGCUUGGUAAUGCUCAGGAGAUCAUUGAUGGCUUUUCAUGCAUGGGGUUCCCCAACUGUAUUGGGGCAAUUGAUAGGACUCAUGUACCUCUCAUUUGCUUCCCAUGUUAGCCUUUAUAACUUCUCCAUGGUGUUCCAUGGCCUUGUUGACCACGAGGGCAGGUUCACAAAAGUAAACGUAGGAUGAUCUGAAGAGGUCCACAAUGAUAGGAACCCAAUACAAGAAUUGGGUAGGGGGAAGGAGCUCCUAUUCAUAGGUGAGUGAACAUCUUGCCUUUGUUUCUUCUAGUCCUUCAGGGUUUGAGUGUUGGGAUUCAAAGUUGCCAGGUGCACUGGAUGUCUUGAAUAGGCAGGGCUCCAACAUAGUGGUGGUCUUGCUGCCCUGUGCUGGGGCUAGGGAGUACUGGACUCUGGGAACACAGUUGCAGAGCUACAGUAGGGAACAUCUGCUGGUGCUCCUGGUAUCCUGUAUUAUCCAAGGCUGCAGAACAUGGCUGGGUCCUGCUUUGGGAGCACUGCACUGUCUGAAGGCCUAAUAACUGCAUGGGCUUCAGCAGAGCAUUCUGAGUCUGCAUUCCAUCUAGGAAUUGUUUUUGGGUAUCCCUGUCUCUCUUUACAGUGUCUCUGGUAAUAGCAACACUGCCCUGGUCCACUUCAAUGCUAGCUCUGGAUACCUGCAUUUCUUUCUCCCUCUCUGACAUGACAUAACGCUCUCCAGGUCUCUGUGGUUUUUCUUUUCUUUUUUCCAAGAUGUAUGUGGGGCUUCAAACUUCUCUUGAGACCUCCUUUUCCCUCGUCAGGUUAGAAAGCUGCUCAGCUGCUGGUAAAAGGCCUGUCCUUGAGGGGCUCAGUAUUGCACACUGUGUGGCUGGGGGAGCAGAGUUAAAAACAAGCGGUUAUUGUUAAUAAUACAACUAUUUCUACAGAAGUAAUGAUGGAAUUCUUUUUGUUAUCCUCUACUUCUGGAUUCCAUCCCUGAGAUUCAUCCCAGUUUUGGGAAGACCUCAGAGCUGAUAUUUUCUUGGGCAAUAUCAUUCCAGAUACCUCUUCAAAUUCACCAUCCAGAUCUUUGAUGAUAUCCAUAAUCAAGUGACCUUCUCUUGUGAAGUAAACAAGAACUCCCUCAAGUCAUCGUGGUGCAUCUCCAUCUCAGCAGUAGCCUGCGUCAGGUUCAGUAAUACAUAAAGCAAUGCUGUGACUUAUUGCUGAAACGCUUUGAUGCAGUCUGUGACCUGACAUACUUUUUAUUCUAUUGGAAUGCAUGUGCAUGGGAAAUUCCACACACUAGAUCCUCUUCUUUCCCUCCUGCACUCCGCAACCCUACGAAUCUAUUCAAAAGAGACUGUGAUGGCCAGUCAAGUUCUAGAUUUAGAAAUUCAAGGAAUUGUGAUCAUGGAAACAUGCCCCAAAUAAGUUGAGGACUGACCCCUAAAUAAGUUGAGUCAAGAGUAUACAAAGUUCAUAGAGAUGACUCAAGUGGUUGCUGGGACAAGCAUCAGAGUAUCCCAUUCCAUGUUUUGGAGACACUGCUCCUUUCUAUUUUAGAAAGGACCAACACGUGCUGGGAAGAUGAACCAGGUAAAACAAAUGAUAAUGGAGGAGAGCCAGAGAACUUCAAUCUCUUUCUACAAUACAGUGCUACAUAGUAGUACUUACUACAAUAUGCAUAUUCUGUAUAUGAGCUGUACUUCAUAUGCACAGCUAUAUGUGUCUACAAUGCUUAAAUACUUCAUUUUUGAUAAUCUCUUUGUCGUCUGUAUAGCUGAGUGGCAAUUCGUGAAGUUACAGAUGAGGAGAAUGAUCUCAAUGCACUGAAAAUCUGUGAAAGACUCUAGAAAUAUCAAGGUGCCAGGUAUCCUGGGUCCAGGCCAUGGAGUGCUUUGAAGAUGAGGACUCAUACCUUAAACUUGAUUCUAAAUUUUAUGGGAAAGCGUGGAGGACAGUUGUGAUUCGCUCACAAUACUUGUGUUGCUGAUGUGAUGUGCUGCUCUUGUUGGAGUUUCCUAAGUGCUGAAGCUUCAUGCCCAGAUAUAUUACAUUUCUGUACUCCAGGUGAGAUGUGACAAAGGCAUUAAUAACUGAGGCAAAGUCUUUGUCCACCAGGAUGGGACAGAGUCUCCUAACCAACCAAAGAUGGUAGAAAGCAUGACUCCUGGCUGUUGUGAUGUGAGAACUCAGUGUUAGCAAGGAAUCCAAGAAUGCUCCUAGACUACAGACUGAAUCCCACAAUUCUGGAUGUGAGCCUUCAAUCAAAGGAGACUGCACGAUGACUGCAAACUCUGCAAAAUACUUUCCCUUGCCCACCAAGCAUCACUUCUGUUUUUCUCGGAUUCAGCUUCAGUUGCUUUUCUUAAUCCAUUACCUGAUCUCAUCUAAGCACUGAGCUCUCAUGGUGGUGGUGGUGUGAUUGUAUGUGAUGAAGGAUGGGUAGGAUUGUGUGUCAUCAUCAUACUGCUGCCACUUGAGUCCAUGUCUGACCAGGUCACCUAAGGUUGAAAAUAGAUGUUGAAAAGGGCUGGAGAGAGAAUUGUGAAACCUCACAAGUGAGGCAUUUAGUGGUGGAGGUGCAGUUUCCAUCACUACUCAUUGGAUGCAUCCCUCCAGAAAGGACUCAAAAUCAUUUUAGCGCAUUAUCCUGCACUCCUGCUACCUUUCUCAGGCAAGACAGCAGAAUCUCAUGGUCAUUCUUAGAUGCUGCAAGAAGUAAAGGAAGAUGAGAAUGGAUGUCUGUCCUCUAUCCAUUGACAGGAGGAGAUCAUCCAUUAAAGCUGUUUCAGUUUCAUGUCUUGGCCUAAAUCCAGAUUGUACCAGAUCCAGAAUGUUAGCUUCAAAUAGAUGAGCUUGUAGUCAGUCUGUGGCUAGCUUCUCUAUGAGCAUGGUCAGGAAUGGGAGAUUCAACACUGGGUGAUAUGUGUCUAUGACUGAAGUAUCCAAGGUGGGUUUUCUUCAGAGUUGGUUGGACUGUUGCAUGUUUGAAGAAAGAAGAGAGAAGAAGAUUCCUUCUCCGAAUGAGAUAUUGCCUAUUUUGGUCAGGAAUGGUACUGGUUGUUCAUGACUCUAUUUCAAGUCUUGGGUCAGGACUCCUUUAGGGUGUCCAGACAGGCCAGUCCUUGCUUACAGUCAGCCCCCCAACCUGAAGCAAAUACUCACCAGCAACCACACAACACACAACACACAACAGAACCACUAACCCAGGAACCUAUCCUUGCAACAAAGCCCAUUGC